AGAGACUGAGGAAGGAGGUCCAGUGACCUCCUUGGGAUCCAUCUCAAGAGGAGGCAUCAAGGCCGGACACUAAUACUGAUGCUAUGGUGUGCUUACAGAAAGGAGCCUAGCAUGGCUGCCCUCUAAGAGAAGUCCAAGUAAGCAGAUACUUACACCCAACUAAUGGACACAAGUCAGGGAUGCCUGUGGUUGAAUUAGGAAAGUAUUUUAUGUUUUUAAAGAAAGAAUUUAUUCAUGUGAGCUAUAUACAACCAGUUCAGGUGUAGAGCAUGAGUGGCUGCAGAGGUUCAACACAGAUGAAACAUAUCUAUCUCCCCCUAAGCCUCAGGGAUGGAUGCAGAAGAGUAGGAAGAAGGUAUAUAAGAUCAGAGAAUGUGGAUGAAUGCAAGAAAACAUCUUCUAGACAUAACAAGGCAAAUGCACAUAAAACUCAGUAGUUGUGACAGCAUGCAUACAACCUGUGCCAGCUCGACGAGACCAAAUUCUAGCAUGGAGAAGUGAGCUAGGGGACACAAUUUCAUCCAAAGUCUAUGGUGACUGGAACUUGUUCACUGCUGGAAAAGGAAGAGUCUAUCUUCUCUAUGAGUGUAAGUGCUCAUAAAUCAACCAUGCUUGAAUGGAAGACCACAAUCCGAAAAUAUUUAGGGUAAUGUAAUUAUUCUUGCAGUGUUUUUGCUAUACAGGACAAAAACGUUAUGGGUAUAGGAAUUGAGGGUGUGUCUAAGAAGAGUUGGGGAAUGAAUAUGACCAAAACAUAUCAUGUGAAACUUUGAACUCUUGGAGAACUAAUAAAAAUAUGAAAUAAGUUCAUUCUGUCAAUGAAGGUUCUUAAUUACUUUUAAUCUAAGUAAUUAGUAUAUAAUUUCACACCUUUGUUGAAAUAGUAAAUAUUAUUUCUUUGAGAAAUCUUUAACACUGGGUACUCCCUCAGGUCAUUUCUUCAAAUACAAAAACAAAGGAAAAUAGCAUAGCAUAAGACUUCUAAAAUAUAAUACUAUAACUUGUGCCUAUAUCACAACCUGAAAGUUACAACUGUGACCACACUUGGUGAGUUUUCAAGAGUAGAAAUAUGAUGUACAUAUUCUGCAUGAUCCAAGUGACCUUUCACACCAAUAUCACAAUACAAUAUUAUUUAACACGUAUGUGGUAAAGGGAGAAUGAACAAAAAGAAUUGAGUCCACUGAAGGCUGAUCAUUCCUCUUGGGCUUCCACAGGGCACUUGGAGGGACAUGUCAUGUUCAGAGAAUAAUGUCUUUCAGAAUAUUUCUCAGAACAGCCUAUACGAACAGCUUUUUCCCAUUUCCAUAGAUCUUUCUUCUGCCACAAAUCAUCUGAGGUCAGCUUCUUUCUCUUCAUUGAUUAUACCAGCAGAAUUUUGUCCAUCACCCGACUUGGUUUGGAGAAGACACUUUCCAUUUGUACGGACUGGAUUUUCAGGACGAUUUCAUGAUGCUCAUGCUUCAUUCUGACAUGGUGGAAGAGUCAGAUCUUGACUCCUUCAAACUCAGAACAUGGCUGUUGGGGAACUAGUCUUUGAAGGGAUGCUGAAGAUGAAAGGAAAUCAUUGAAGUGUUUCCUAAUCUACGGGUAUUAUCAUCCCAAUGGAGAUUAAAGACAGAUAUGAAGAUGGACGAGGAAAUAGAAUCAGAAUCUGCAAGGUGCAAAAGAUCCUGACUAGGGAAGGUCGCAUAGUUAAUUUAAGAGGCUAGAAAAUUAAAAUAGUGAAUUUCCAGGGGAAAAGAUAAAUGGCCAGAAUAAACGUGGACAUCGUUCCUCAUUGAGCCUGGUAGGUGACCUUGAAUAAUUAAUACUGAUUACUUUGAUUCUGCACAUUCAUGUGCGACAUCUACUUGAUUGACAGUGACACAGUUAGAAUAGAAAAUAGUGUUAUUCUAAUAACUGUUAUCACAUUAAAGUGUUUGGCUUGAUUACCAUAGAUGUGUUUGAAUUGAUAAAGUAGUCAUUCUUAAAUAGACCUUGCUUGUUUUUAACUCCUGUUGGCAAAGGUGGUUAGGAGUUUAAAAGGGUGAUAAAAAUUUCUGACUGAGAGAAUUAAAUGAAAGGCCCUUCCAAAUAUAAGGAGGAAAGUAUUUCCUAUUAAUUUUUAAAUAUUAUUUCUCUUACCUUUUGAGAUUAUUAUACAACUACAUCAUUCCUGCUACACUUUCCUCCCUUCCGACCCUUGCAUAUGCAACUCCUUCCUUAUUUUUCUUUUAUAAUUUAUGACCCCUUUAUUCAUGAACUCUUAUUGCAAAUGCACAGACAUUCCAAAAUACGUAAGUACAAUGCACUCCUGGUUAGAUAUCAUUUACUUCAGACACAGGACCCGAAGCCUCUGAGCUGAAACUGAUCCAAUAAUCUUUACAUCUCCUUUCCAACAUUGAAAUCUUCCUGAUUCCAAAAGACUUAGCCAUCCAAAUACACACUGAGAUUUGACACAUUCAACUGGGGCAUGUUGCAAAUUUUAUUUGAUAUAUGCUUGCUUUUUAUGCAUAUAAAUUAAUUUUCCAAAUAUAAAUUGUAAGUCAGCAUCAUCACAUCAUUUCAUUAAAAAUUAGAUCUGAAUCCUACCAUAGAUCGUUCAAAUUCUAUAGACAAAAAAGGGAGAGAAGGCUUAUCCCAUAUAGCACCAGCCACACAUGCAUGUGUCUUUGAUAUUACAUCAUUCACACACACACAGAAAGUCCUUCCUGGUGGUAUAUUCUUAUAACUUCCUAAAUGGGAAGUAAAUAUAACUGAAUUCCUGGAGCUCAUUGGUCAGUCAGUAUAGCAGAAUCUAUGAGCUUCGGGUUCACCAAGUGAUUCUAUAUCAACCAUAAACAAAUAAUAAACAAAUGUCUAAAUCUAGAAAGCAAUCAUGAAAGACACUCCAUACCAGUCAAGUUGUGUCCUCCACAACCAUAUACCUUAGCACAUGUCCAUGGACACAUGCAUAAUACCCAUAGUAACAAUUCACAUGAACACACACACACACACACACACACACACACACACACACACACACAUUUAAAUAAGGUGCUGGUAUAAUACAUAUGCACCCACUAUAAUAUGACAGUCAUUUUCUACAUAUGAUCUUAGCCAAAAGACCGAGAAGUGAUGACAGCCAUUUUCAUAAAUACACUUUACUGUAGCAAGCAAGCCUCCCAAGACUACCAUUUGUUUAUACCCAACAACAUACAUAUAUAAGGUAACAUGAUAUGAUUAAGAAAAUAUCAGACUUAAAGUCAUGGAACAGUGAUGUUUAGUAACUGUCACCUUGUAAAGUCUCAAAUUUUCUCAUUUUUAAUGUGAUCGAUUGACUCACAGAGAACUAUGGGCUGCUCACCUCAGUCCUAAUUUUAGCCUUGAAGCUGCACUAACUGGGUGAUAGCCUGAAUCCUUAGAACACUGAAAUUAGUAUGGGAUACAAAUUGCUUACCGCUAUCCAGUUUUCAAUGGUAACAUGCAAAUGUGUAUUUACUUUUACUGCUGAACUAUUUAAGAAUGCUUACUUAGUGUUUAUAAUAAUUUAAAAGUGGGAAAGAAUUUAAUGAAAUAUAGCCAGCUUGUGAAUUAAAUCAAAAACAGUGAUGGGAGAAUAUUUUCCAUUUGCAUACUUUAAUGAAUAUUCAUUAUUUUGCAUGUGGAGAAAAGAAAUAAAUUCUUAAAGUUGUUUUGUACACGAACAUCUGGAGGUUUGAGCUGUAAAAGACACCUGCCAAUUGUAAACUCUCCUUGGUGAUCUCCUUAAUAUAAUAUUUAAAAUGCAAAAUUUUAAAAGAAAUAUGAAAACUUGAUUCCUUCUUAACUAUUUUAAGCUAUUUUAAUAUAUGUGUAUUAUAAAUUAAUCAAGCCUUUAAAAUCCAUUCCAUAAGAGGAGAAUUAAUAUAAUCAUCACUCACAUUACUGUCUUUCAGGAAUGAAAAAUCUUUCAGAGUUUCCAAGGAACCCUACAUAUUUGAUUAUACUGCUAAUGGAAAAAUGGGUAUUUAAAUAAAACUUAACUAUCCCCAUAAUAUUGUUUGAAGACUAAAGAUCACUAGCAGCCACACAUGCUAUACUCAGGCUUUCACAAGCUCCAGGGGACUGUCAGAAUUUUUUUGUAGGUAAUCAAGACUCUUUCAGAAAAAAUAUCCACACUUAAAAUCUACAACAGGCCUUGAUAGUUCAUCCUCUUCAGAAAUAAUAAAAAUUCAAUAAACCCUUCUCUGUGGCUUGGAAAAGUAUUACACUUUUCUAAAUGUAGGACACAUGAAAAAGUGUUUGUGUGGUUUAUGAGGCCUUAUUUGCUCUCACAGGAGUCCACAGUGGUACAAACCUGAGUGGUAGCUCCUGUAUGGCCUCUGACUCAUCAUGGUUGACUUUAGGAGCUCAAGGUGACUCAUCUGAACACACAGCUGGUAAUGCUUAACAGAUGGAGCUACAACUAUUCUUUCACGUUUUAUACACCACAAGGAGAGUGGAAUAUUCCAUGUUUAACAAAACAAACCCAAAGCACAUGCUUUUCUGGCAUGUUCAGCACAAUGUUUGCUUAAAAUGGAAACCAUGGGUUACAUUUUAUUCACUUCACCAGAAAUAAUACUCAUUAAAAAUAGUAAAUAUCUGUAACACCAGCUGAGAUACAUAAUUUCCUAAUUUUGUACUUGGUUUAAAUCAGAAGUCUUUUCUUUUCCUUUGUUGAGGAAUGGUAACCUAUUAGCACAUGCUUAGUGUGCCUUAAAACUAAAAGUUGUGUUUCAUUGCAUUAUGAAUGAUUUGUGAUGAUUUAGUGUGGUAAGCAAAACAAAAAUCAUGAAACUGAGCCCAGAACUUUCUGUAUGCUGCAAAAUUAUCUGUUCAUCAAACAAUAUAUAUAUGUAUAUGUAUAUGUAUAUAUAUAUAUGUUUUGUAUUUUAAUUAGAGCCUUAGCGUAGAGAAAUACAAAAAUGUCAUCAUCAAUGUAUAAUAAUUGGGGAGUUCCUGCCCUAUAUUAAUGGAAGACUAAAGCAUUCCAAACACAGGGAAGGAACUAAGGUGGCAACAUGGUGGGUACAAAAGGACUAUGAGAUAAACCAGUAUGUCAGUCUGUAAGUUGUGCACAUUAUCAACUAUCCAAUGAAAGUCUGUAAGAUUGCUUGUAUUGUACAUACAUUUUAAGAAAAAUAUUUUCAUUUUACAUUGUGUGGAAUUUUCAUUUCAUUCAUGUACUUUCUGUUUCUCUUACUGGGUUUUAUUUUCAUAGUUUUAUAUAAUCAAUUACUGCCUAAAUCAUAAUGCAGUUUAGGUAUCAGUAUUAUUUUAGUAAUUACAAACCAUCUCUCAAAUGCAUGAGGACUUUACACAUCGUUGCAAAAUAAAUAAAUAGUCCCGAGUCUGACAGCCAGGAUAACUCAUUGAAGGAAAAAGCCCCACCGACUCUCAGCUCCCUCAGGUGCCCUCAGUACAGUUCUGGAGGGAGCAAAAAGAAGGCUAAAUAGGGUGAGAACACUCAAAAUUCAUUUUCUAAAACGUUCCAAUUUUCAAUUGAUCGCAAUGGAAGAGUUGACAAAUCAGACACAAUAUACAUUUUUAUCACAGACUCAAUAAUUUUUAUUCCCACAGAAACUCAAUUGAGAUUUCGACAUGUAUGCAAAAAUCAGACUGAUUUUUCAAUAACAACUGAACUUUGUCUUAGAGAAAUGUAUUUUGUGAACUAAUAUUAAAGCAGAUAAUAUAAUUCUCAAGAGCUACCACUGCUGUAUAUUGACAUACAAUAUAAGAGACAGAAAGUAAGCAAUGCUUCCUUUUUGCAACGGCAAUCUACCAUCAGGAGCUUCAUUCAGCAAAUGAAAAUUGAACUGUGCCCACUCUAGUCAUAAUAGAAAUUACUCGUAUCACUCCAAGAACAUUUGUGAAAAGAGGAGUCAUAUAAUCAAUUUCCCAGGGCCAGACAGAUUUAGUG
rnacentral:sRNA from 1 species